rnacentral:tRNA from 1 species
AGGCGCGUAGCUCAGUGGUAGAGCGCUGCCUUUACCUGGCAGAGGUCGACGGUUCAAUUCCGCUCCGCGCCUACCA